CUCAGAUUGGAGAGACCCUGAGAUGCUCGCCUGGUCAGCACUCCUACCCAGUGCAACACUGGGACUAAAGAUAGCACCAAGAGAAUAUAUCCAACCCUUUUUAUCCAGCCUUUUCUUCAGGAAUCUUACAAGGAAAAAAACAUUCAUCAGCAAGAGUCAACCCUGACGAUAAAAUGCAGAAAUCAGUCUGAGUGUGCUGUGAGAGGCAGGUCUUUACCCCAAACGAGGAAAGGUGACUGUGGUGGUUUAUCAGAUGUGAUGUCGAUAUUGUCCAAGAGCUUGGAGUAAAGAACUGGAAAAAUGUGGUGUGGUAAGUGCAGUUCUUCAUGGGUUAGCACUGCUCUAAAAUCUGUCUUUCCC
rnacentral:lncRNA from 1 species